UCAUACUAUCCGGGGCGGUAGCGGUGCCCUGUACCUGAAAUCCGCUAUAUGCAGGGGAGAAUUCCCAUUUUGAGGGGUAUUCUUGUGCGGCCAGCACUUAUAAAAGAAGCGUUGACGGAUGAGUCUUGCGCAAUUGGCGGCUGUGAACCGUGUCAGAUGGGGGACCAAGCAGCACUAAGCGGUUUUGUCAAUGUGCCGUGAGGGUGCUUGUCUCGAGCCGAUUUUGUAAGGUAGCGCGUGUAAGGGUAUUUCGAACUAUGG
rnacentral:SRP_RNA from 1 species